rnacentral:rRNA from 1 species
UACGUAGGGGGCAAGCGUUGUCCGGAAUCAUUGGGCGUAAAGAGCGUGUAGGCGGCCAGAUAAGUCUGCUGUGAAAGUCCAGGGCUCAACCCUGGGAUGCCGGUGGAUACUGUCGGACUAGAGUACGGAAGAGGCGAGUGGAAUUCCCGGUGUAGCGGUGAAAUGCGCAGAUAUCGGGAGGAACACCAAUUGCGAAGGCAGCUCGCUGGGACGUUACUGACGCUGAGACGCGAAAGCGUGGGGAGCAAACAGG